CUGGUCGAGCCAGAAGAACAACAAAAAUGAAGAAAAUAAUACAAUCGUUUCUUCUUCUAAGCUUGGUUUUUAUACUUCUAUGUGUAUCCUUUCAGGCUGGUGUGACAGAGGCUAGAUUCCGUCACCUAGGUGUGGGUGCUGUGAAACCAACACCAAUGAUAGGAAGACGAAUGAUAAUGGUAGGAGCUCCCCCACUGCGUAGUGCUGGAGGAAAUGAUUAGACUCCUUGCCAGACACGAACAGGAGAGCAUUGUAGACUUCCUCCAACACCUCCUCGUCUACCUUAAUUCAUGCCUCACUACAGAAGUUAGCAACUUUGAAUAUGAAUUUAUAUAUUACACUCGAAUCCACAGGGCCACCAAGGAUGUAAUGUAACUCCAAUUAUUGUUUAGUAAAAACACACACAUAUAUACUUGAUCGAAGAUUGAAGAACCAUCGUUUCUUUUUUUUUUUGGUUAAGAAAACCAUCGUUUAUUGAAGAAGCUAUAGAGUCAAUUAGAGAAAGUACUAGUUUGAAAGGCUUGGUGGAAGUGGAACUGAUCAUGUAUACGUAAAGAAAAAAAUUAUUUGCCAAGUUGACAUUAUUAUUUCCAUAAGCAAAUCAUGUAUACAUGGUAAAAAAAAUUAUCUUCGCCG